GACCCAUACAUCUAUUUAUAGUCCUUGUAAUGGGCCUAUUGGGCCUCAAAUCACGGCCUAACCAGACAAACAAGUGGGCCCAUUAAGCUUACGUGUAAAGCCCAAUAAGCUGCCGCUCUAUGACUUUGACCGGUCAAUUGUCUACGACCGGUUCACGCCAACAGAACCGGCCGGUUCAACAUUUACAUUAGCCACACUUUUUGCUCUGGACCGGAUCUUAAAAAUAGUUCUUAACUUU
rnacentral:misc_RNA from 1 species